rnacentral:rRNA from 1 species
AGAGACCGAUAGCGAACAAGUACCGUGAGGGAAAGAUGAAAAGCACUUUGGAAAGAGAGUUAAACAGCACGUGAAAUUGUUAAAAGGGAAACGAUUGAAGUCAGUCGUGUGAAAGGUAUUCAGCCGUCUCUGGCGGUGUAUUUGCCUUUCACGGGUCAACAUCAGUUUGAUCCGGUAGAAAAAGGCGGGAGGAAGGUGGCACCCUCGGGUGUGUUAUAGCCUCCUGUCAUAUGUGCCGGACCAGACUGAGGAACGCAGCUUGCCGCAAGGCCGGGGUUCGCCCACGUACAAGCUUAGGAUGUUGACAUAAUGGCUU